UACAGAGGGUGCGAGCGUUAAUCGGAAUUACUGGGCGUAAAGCGCGCGUAGGCGGCUUUGUAAGUCGGGUGUGAAAUCCCCAAGCUUAACUUGGGAACUGCAUUCGAGACUGCAUAGCUAGAGUAUGGGAGAGGGAAGUGGAAUUUCAGGUGUAGCGGUGAAAUGCGUAGAUAUCUGAAGGAACAUCAGUGGCGAAAGCGACUUCCUGGACCAAUACUGACGCUCAUGUGCGAAAGCGUGGGGAGCAAACAGG
rnacentral:rRNA from 1 species